UAGCCAGCUCAUCUGUUACCUGAACUGUGUAGUUUUGUCUUGUCUUAGUUUAUUGCACAAUUGUCUUACAUUUGGCAGUCAUUUGUGAAUUUUUUUUUCAGGUGAACAGCAAGUCAUCAACAAAUCUGUGGUGAAAGUUCCGAUAUUUCAAAGGACGUAUAAUCUGCUGUGCUUUUCAGAAUCCCGAAAUAGCUACAGAAGAAUUAAUAAAGGCAUUACCCCAGUGGUUUUCCUGUAACUAACCGUGAUGAUGGCUUACCCAAGUUCCCAGUAUUGUUCUGUGUCUUGGAACUGCAGGUUUUCCACAAAAGAAAAUCUGGUUGUGUCAAGGUAAGUGAACAAAACUAUAUUAGAUUGCAAACAUUCUUGUUUUUAAAAAGGUUGCUUUUAUCUUUGACGCUCUGUGGUGCUAUUGUCUGCUUGUGUAUGUAUAUAUGCUUUGUGGUGAACACCUACACCUGAGGAAUUAUUUAACUAAAGCAUAAGCAAGACAGCAAAAAAACUGCUUGCCUAUAAAUGUAAUCUGAAGGACUCUGGUAAAUAUCAUUAGAAUUAUAUCUGGAAACAUUACACAAUUUAGUAAUUACUGCCCAGACAUGGCUUAUAUUUAGUAAAUUAAUAGUAUUUGAAUAAAUCAAGUAUAUAUAUGGAGAUAUCA
rnacentral:lncRNA from 1 species